AAGUGUAUCGAAGGACCUAACCGGUGAAGAUCAAGCGAGUCACGGACAUCUAAGGAUGAGCACAAGCUGCUAUCAUGGCGGAGCGAUAAUAACCCACAGAGGGAUAGAAGAUAUUCCUUAUCCUCGCAACGGCAUAAGAGGAGAUAGUCAUUAAAUGGCGUCGUGAACACGUAAGUGUCAAUGGACAGUGAACGCUGAAAGAAAAGGCGGAAACUGACAGCAGAUAUCUAAAGAGAUAUCUGUUUAGUGGGUCCCAUGUGUACGGGCGAUUAGGGGCUAGAGAUAGCCGGAUGUACACCUACA
rnacentral:ncRNA from 1 species